rnacentral:rRNA from 1 species
UCUACGGGAGGCUGCAGUGGGGAAUCUUGGACAAUGGGCGCAAGCCUGAUCCAGCCAUGCCGCGUGGAUGAUGAAGGCCUUAGGGUUGUAAAAUCCUUUCGCCGAGGACGAUAAUGACGGUACUCGGAGAAGAAGCUCCGGCUAACUUCGUGCCAGCAGCCGCGGUAAUACGAAGGGGGCUAGCGUUGUUCGGAUUUACUGGGCGUAAAGCGCGUGUAGGCGGGCUGGUAAGUUGGGGGUGAAAUCCCGAGGCUCAACCUCGGAACUGCCUCCAAAACUGUCAGCCUGGACCCAAGUAGAGGCAAGUGGAAUUGCGAGUGGAGCGGUGAAAUGCGUAGAUAUCUGGAGGAACACCCGUGGCGAAGGCGGCUUCCUGGCCAUAUCCUGACGCUGAGGUGCGAAAGCUAGGGGAGCGAACGGGAUUAGAUACCCCAGUANUC